UGAGGGAUAUUGCUCAAUGGGCGCAAGCCUGAAGCAGCGACGCCGCGUGGGUGAUGAAGGUCUUCGGAUCGUAAAACCCUUUUACAGGUGACGAGGAAGGACGGUAGCCUGUGAAGAAGUGUCGGCUAACUACGUGCCAGCAGCCGCGGUAAAACGUAGGACGCAAGCGUUAUCCGGAAUUACUGGGCGUAAAGCGCGUGUAGGUGGUUAGAUAAGUCACUGUUGAAAGCUCCUGGCUAAACUGGGAGAGGUGCGGUGAGACUGUCUGGCUAGAGUAUGGGAGAGGGAUGCAGAAUUCCGGGUGUAGUGGUGAAAUGCGUAGAGAUCCGGAGGAAUACCAGAGGCGAAGGCGGCAUCCUGGCCUAAAACUGACACUGAGACGCGAAAGCAUGGGGAGCGAACGGG
rnacentral:rRNA from 1 species